rnacentral:rRNA from 1 species
UACGUAGGGUCCGAGCGUUGUCCGGAAUUACUGGGCGUAAAGAGCUCGUAGGUGGUUUGUCGCGUUGUUCGUGAAAACUCACAGCUUAACUGUGGGCGUGCGGGCGAUACGGGCAGACUGGAGUACUGCAGGGGGAGACUGGAAUUCCUGGUGUAGCGGUGGAAUGCGCAGAUAUCAGGAGGAACACCGGUGGCGAAGGCGGGUCUCUGGACCGUAACUGACGCUGAGGCGCGAAAGCGUGGGGAGCAAACAGG